AAGGUAGCGUAAUCACUUGUUCUUUAAAUGAGGACUAGUAUGAAUGGCACCACGAGGGUUAAACUGUCUCCUUUUUUUAAUCAGUGAAACUAAUCUCCCCGUGAAGAAGCGGGGAUUCUUUUAUAAGACGAGAAGACCCUAUGGAGCUUUAAACAAGUUAACACCUGCUACUAAUCNNCUCACUUUCCUGAACCACCACAUUAAGUAUAGCACCUCUGAUUAACAGUUUUCGAUUGGGGUGAUCAUGGAGCAAAAAUCAACCUCCACGACGAAAAGGAACACCUCCUUGAGCCAAAAGCUACAACUUUAAGCACUAAAAAACUAACGCACUUUGACCCAAUUCUUUGAGCAACGAACCAAGUUACCCUAGGGAUAACAGCGCAAUCCACUUUAAGAGCCCCUAUCGACAAGUGGGUUUACGACCUCGAUGUUGGAUCAGGGUAUCCCAGUGGUGCAGCCGCUACUAAAGGUUCGUUUGUUCAACGAUUAAAACCCUACGUGAUCUGAGUUCAGACCGGAGUAAUCCAGGUCAGUUUCUAUCUAUAAAGGGCUUUUUCUAGUACGAAAGGACCGAAAAAGCAUGGCCUAUAACCCAUCAAGCCAUAUAAAUUACUACUGUUCCCAACUUAAAUAGAAGUAAACCUACCACUUAUCUCGAUAAAAGAGAAGUUAACGUAGCAUAACCUGGCCUUGCAG
rnacentral:rRNA from 1 species